GAUGAACGCUGGCGGCGUGCCUAAUACAUGCAAGUCGAGCGAACAGACGAGGAGCUUGCUCCUCUGACGUUAGCGGCGGACGGGUGAGUAACACGUGGAUAACCUACCUAUAAGACUGGGAUGACUUCGGGAAACCGGAGCUAAUACCGGAUAAUAUAUUGAACCGCAUGGUUCAAUAGUGAAAGACGGUUUUGCUGUCACUUAUAGAUGGAUCCGCGCCGCAUUAGCUAGUUGGUAAGGUAACGGCUUACCAAGGCAACGAUGCGUAGCCGACCUGAGAGGGUGAUCGGCCACACUGGAACUGAGACACGGUCCAGACUCCUACGGGAGGCAGCAGUGGGGAAUCUUCCGCAAUGGGCGAAAGCCUGACGGAGCAACGCCGCGUGAGUGAUGAAGGUCUUCGGAUCGUAAAACUCUGUUAUUAGGGAAGAACAAAUGUGUAAGUAACUAUGCACGUCUUGACGGUACCUAAUCAGAAAGCCACGGCUAACUACGUG
rnacentral:rRNA from 1 species